UACGAAGGGGGCUAGCGUUGUUCGGAAUUACUGGGCGUAAAGCGCGCGCAGGCGGUCUUCCAAGUCAGUGGUGAAAGCCUGGAGCUCAACUCCAGAACUGCCAUUGAAACUGUUAGACUUGAGUACGAGAGAGGUGAGUGGAAUUCCCAGUGUAGAGGUGAAAUUCGUAGAUAUUGGGAAGAACACCGGUGGCGAAGGCGGCUCACUGGCUCGUAACUGACGCUCAGGCGCGACAGCUAGGGGAGCAAACAGG
rnacentral:rRNA from 1 species